rnacentral:misc_RNA from 1 species
GAUGAAGAACGCAGCGAAAUGCGAUAAGUAGUGUGAAUUGCAGAAUUCAGUGAAUCAUCGAAUCUUUGAACGCACAUUGCGCCCCUUGGUAUUCCAUGGGGCAUGCCUGUUCGAGCGUCAUUUGUACCUUCAAGCUUUGCUUGGUGUUGGGUGUUUGUCUCGCCUCUGCGUGUAGACUCGCCUCAAAACAAUUGGCAGCCGGCGUAUUGAUUUCGGAGCGCAGUACAUCUCGCGCUUUGCACUCAUAACGACGACGUCCAAAAGUACAUUUUUACACUCUUGACCUCGGAUCAGGUAGGGAUACCCGCUGAACUUAAGCAUAUCAAUAAGCGGAGGA